rnacentral:rRNA from 1 species
AGAGUUUGAUCCUGGCUCAGGAUGAACGCUGGCGGUCUGCUUAACACAUGCAAGUCGAACGAAUCCCUUUGGGGAUUAGUGGCGGACGGGUGAGUAACGCGUGAGAAUCUGCCUUUUGGUCGGGGACAACCACUGGAAACGGUGGCUAAUACCGGAUAAGCCUGCGGGUAAAAGAUUAAUUGCCAAGAGAGGAGCUCGCGUCUGAUUAGCUAGUUGGUGAGGUAAAGGCUCACCAAGGCGGCGAUCAGUAGCUGGUCUGAGAGGAUGAUCAGCCACACUGGGACUGAGACACGGCCCAGACUCCUACGGGAGGCAGCAGUGGGGAAUUUUCCGCAAUGGGCGAAAGCCUGACGGAGCAAGACCGCGUGAGGGAGGAAGGCUCUUGGGUUGUAAACCUCUUUUGUCAGGGAAGAACACAAUGACGGUACCUGAAGAAUCAGCAUCGGCUAACUCCGUGCCAGCAGCCGCGGUAAUACGGAGGAUGCAAGCGUUAUCCGGAAUUAUUGGGCGUAAAGCGUCCGCAGGUGGCACUUCAAGUCUGCUGUCAAAGACCGGGGCUUAACCCUGGAAAGGCAGUGGAAACUGAAGCGCUAGAGUGUGGCAGGGGUAGAGGGAAUUCCCGGUGUAGCGGUGAAAUGCGUAGAGAUCGGGAAGAACAUCGGUGGCGAAAGCGCUCUACUGGGCCACAACUGACACUCAGGGACGAAAGCUAGGGGAGCGAAUGGGAUUAGAUACCCUAGUAGUCC